CAAAAGCCCACGAAACAGUGUAAUCACGCGGUACUGUGAUGUCAUACUGGUUAACGCUAAGCCACGUGAAGCCGGACACAAGGGCUACACUAAUCUUUGGGCUGGAGUAGCCUGUGGUUUUUAAGGCUUCGUGUCUCUUCGCGUUAAACGAUCGCAGAACGAUUUAUUUCUCUUUUUCACCUCGAUCUUUGGCCUCGUGUGAUUUACCAAAACCAACAUGUGAAGUUACAACGCUGACGAAGGAGUUUCAUCAGUAGAGUGUAUCCUGGUAAAUGUGUGCUCGGAAACAUGCAGAUUACAGUAUUUACAGAGCCGACCUUGAGGCACCCACUGAUGGAUAAUCUGUUUACCUAAAAACAGCCCACCACAAUCCAUGUUUACCAGCUGUGAAAGUGCAGGCCAAAAAUCUUCCUUCACCUGUGGGCCUCUUCCCACAUGUAGAUAAGCACUUCAGGAGAAACCUGCUAAGAUGCACAGAUUCAACUCUGGCCCAUUGUCAUCCCAACACCUCAUCUGCCAUCAGUUUCGUUUAGUGUCGGUCUAUUGCAAAAGUUCUUAUAAACUUUAAAUGAGACUUUGUGUUAAGCAGGGGUUUCCAAACUUUUCAUUCCACAACAUAUUAAGCCCAGGAUACACAGCAGGAUUUUUGCAAUCCAAUAAGACCUUAUCACACUGUGUGACAAGGAUUGUUUAAACUUCAGCAGUAGACUGUCGAUGAAGACACCUAUUGAAUCUGAAGCUGCGACAUCUGUCAUCAGCAUGCGCUAGUGGUAAACAAAUACAGGUAUGCAGGUCGUAGAAGCAAACACAUUGUUGAUGUGCGAUGAUCAUGCUGAACUUCUUACACUGUCAUAAAACUAUCGUAGGUGUCUUUGGUCCAAGGACUGGAAAAACAGACGUCUUUAAACCUCUCACACUGUAUGAGAUAGGACCACCAAUUAAGAGCCACGAUCACAGAAAUCUCCACGAUUGUUUCACGAUUGGUAAUCUUUCAUCUGGGACAGCCAAAAAUCGUGCCGUGUAUUAUGGGCUUUAGACAGGUGUAAUCUUAUAGUAUGUCAAAACCAUUGCUAAUAAUUAAUUGGACAAACCAUCACUACAAUGCAACACUCACUAUCUUACGGUGUGAC